rfam:Arabidopsis lyrata subsp. lyrata unplaced genomic scaffold ARALYscaffold_1, whole genome shotgun sequence.
UGAAGAUUGUUUAUGAGAGUAUUAUAAGUCACUACAUUUGGUAUGCAAAAGUUUUGUUUCCCAAACGAAGUGACUUAUAAUAAUCUCAUGAAUGGAUUUUGCA